rnacentral:rRNA from 1 species
UUUUGCUUGCAAACUAAAGAUGGCGACCGGCGCACGGGUGAGUAACACGUAUCCAACCUGCCGAUAACUCGGGGAUAGCCUUUCGAAAGAAAGAUUAAUAUCCGAUAGUAUAUUAAAACCGCAUGGUUUUACUAUUAAAGAAUUUCGGUUAUCGAUGGGGAUGCGUUCCAUUAGUUUGUUGGGGGGUAACGGCCCACCAAGACUACGAUGGAUAGGGGUUCUGAGAGGAAGGUCCCCCACAUUGGAACUGAGACACGGUCCAA